rnacentral:rRNA from 1 species
AGUGAACGCUGGCGGUAGGCCUAACACAUGCAAGUCGAACGGCAGCACAGUAAGAGCUUGCUCUUACGGGUGGCGAGUGGCGGACGGGUGAGGAGUACAUCGGAAUCUACUUUUUCGUGGGGGAUAACGUAGGGAAACUUACGCUAAUACCGCAUACGACCUACGGGUGAAAGCAGGGGAUCUUCGGACCUUUCGCGAUUGAUUGAGCUGAUGUCGGAUUAGCUAGUUGGCGGGGUAAAGGCCCACCAAGGCGACGAUCCGUAGCCGGUCUGAGAGGAUGAUCGGCCCCACUGGAAAUGAGACACGGUCCAGACCCCUACGGGAGGGCGCAGGAGGGAAUUUUCGGAAAUGGGGGGAAGCCUGACGCAGCCCCGCCGGGGGGGGGAAGAAGGGCCUUGGAUUGGAAAAGCCUUUUUUUGGGGAAGAAAAAACGUGUAAGUAACCCCGCACGUUUUGACGGUACCCAAAAAGAAAGCCACGGCUAAAUUCGUG